rnacentral:rRNA from 1 species
AACGAACGCUGGCGGCAGGCCUAACACAUGCAAGUCGAGCGCCCCGCAAGGGGAGCGGCGUACGGGUGAGUAACGCGUGGGAACGUGCCCUUUGCUACGGAAUAGCCCCGGGAAACUGGGAGUAAUACCGUAUAAGCCCUACGGGGGAAAGAUUUAUCGGCAAAGUAUCGGCUCGCGUUGGAUUAGGUAGUUGGUGGGGUAAUGGCCUACCAAGCUGACGAUCCAUAGCUGGCUUGAGAGGAUGAUCAGCCACACUGGGACUGAGACACGGCCCAGACUCCUACGGGCGGCAGCAGUGGGGAAUCUUAGACGAUGGGCGCAAGCAUGAUCUAGCCAUGCCGCGUGAGCGAUGAGGGCCUUAGGGUUGUAAAGCUCUUUCGUGGGGGAAGAUAAUGACUGUACCCCAAGAAGAAGCCCCGGCUAACUCCGUGCCAGCAGCCGCAGUAA